GACUUAAGCAUAUCAAUAAGCGGAGGAAAAGAAACCAACAGGGAUUGCCCUAGUAACGGCGAGUGAAGCGGCAACAGCUCAAAUUUGAAAUCUGGCCUCGGCCCGAGUUGUAAUUUGCAGAGGAUGCUUUUGGCGCGGUGCCUUCCGAGUACCCUGGAACGGGACGCCACAGAGGGUGAGAGCCCCGUAUGGUCGGACACCAAGCCUGUGUAAAGCUCCUUCGACGAGUCGAGUAGUUUGGGAAUGCUGCUCAAAAUGGGAGGUAAAUCUCUUCUAAAGCUAAAUAUUGGCCAGAGACCGAUAGCGCACAAGUAGAGUGAUCGAAAGAUGAAAAGCACCUUGAAAAGGGGGUUAAACAGUACGUGAAAUUGUUGAAAGGGAAGGGCUCGUGACCAGACUUGUGCCAGGCGGCUCAUCCGGCGUUCUCGCCGGUGCACUCCGCCUGGCUCAGGCCAGCAUCGGUUCUUGCCGGGGGAUAAGAGCUUCAGGAACGUGGCCUCCUUCGGGGGGUGUUAUAGCCUGUUGCACGAUGCCCUGGCGGGGACCGAGGUUCGCGCUCCGCAAGGAUGCUGGCGUAAUGGUCACCAACCACCCGUCUUGAAACACGGACCAAGGAGUCGUCCAUCAGAGCGAGCGUUUGGGUGUAAAACCCGCACGCGUAAUGAAAGUGAACGCAGGUGAGAGCUUCGGCGCAUCAUCGACCGAUCCUGAUGUAUUCGGAUGGAUUUGAGUAAGAGUUUUGCUGGACGGACCCGAAAGACAGUGAACUAUGCUUGUAUAGGGUGAAGCCAGAGGAAACUCUGGUGGAGGCUCGCAGCGGUUCUGACGUGCAAAUCGAUCGUCAAAUAUGAGCAUGGGGGCGAAAGACUAAUCGAACGUCUUAUCUGGUUACCGCCGAAGUUCCCUCCCA
rnacentral:rRNA from 1 species